UACAGAGGUCUCAAGCGUUGUUCGGAUUCAUUGGGCGUAAAGGGCGCGUAGGCGGCGGGAUAAGUCGGGUGUGAAAUCUCAGGGCUCAACCCUGAAACUGCACUCGAUACUGCUCUGCUUGAGGACUGGAGAGGAGACUGGAAUUCACGGUGUAGCAGUGAAAUGCGUAGAUAUCGUGAGGAAGACCAGUGGCGAAGGCGGGUCUCUGGACAGUUCCUGACGCUGAGGCGCGAAGGCCAGGGGGAGCAAACGGG
rnacentral:rRNA from 1 species